GGGGGGAGCAAGCGUUGUUCGGAUUUACUGGGCGUAAAGGGCGCGUAGGCGGUCGUGACAAGUCACUUGUGAAAUCUCCGGGCUUAACUCGGAACGGUCAAGUGAUACUGUCGGACUAGAGUACAGAAGGGGCAACUGGAAUUCUCGGUGUAGCGGUGAAAUGCGUAGAUAUCGAGAGGAACACCUGCGGCGAAGGCGGGUUGCUGGGCUGAUACUGACGCUGAGGCGCGAAAGCUAGGGGAGCAAACAGG
rnacentral:rRNA from 1 species